rnacentral:rRNA from 1 species
UACGUAGGGUGCAAGCGUUAAUCGGAAUUACUGGGCGUAAAGCGUGCGCAGGCGGUUAUGUAGGACAGGUGUGAAAUCCCCGGGCUUAACCUGGGAACUGCAUUUGUGACUGCAUAGCUAGAGUACGGUAGAGGGGGAUGGAAUUCCGCGUGUAGCAGUGAAAUGCGUAGAUAUGCGGAGGAACACCGAUGGCGAAGGCAAUCCCCUGGGCCUGCACUGACGCUCAUGCACGAAAGCGUGGGGAGCAAACAGG